rfam:Vitrella brassicaformis CCMP3155 genome assembly, contig: scaffold131
ACACCGUUAGUAUAGCGGUAGAAUAAAUGAUUUCCAUUCAUUUGGCCCGGGUUCGACUCCCGGACGGUGUA